rnacentral:lncRNA from 1 species
GGAUCACAGCGAGUAACAGAAAGGGAGUGUGACAUGUGCGCACAAAUGAAAGAAAAUGUUUUAACAUGCUUAGAAGUACUUCUUUCAAUUUAAAACCUUCUAAGUCAUGUCAAGUAUGAUUGGAUAAACUGUCUUUAUUAAAAUAUGAGAUGUUUCAGAAAAUGCAUGCCCACUAAGUACAUUAGUACUUAGCCCAAAAAUACUUUCAAAUGUUUUCAGGUUGGCUGGCCGGUGCUGACGGGACGGAGCUGAGGCUAGAGUUAAAUUCCUAUGUUAGACUUCCGCUGUAGCAAUUACUCAUAUCAGUCUUUUGUUUUCCCAACUUAAGAUCUUCAUGUUAAAUUUCA